CGAGAGUGUGGGCACACACACACACACACACACACACAUAGUCUCCGCAAAGAGACCCCGCUCUCCUCCCCGCAUACGUACACGCACAGGGUUCAGAGCCAUCAACACCAACGCCCAAGUUUAACAGAGGUGCACUCAGACGGCCGAACAGAAAAAAAGGGAGCAUCCAAGAGAACGUAAAGAGGGGAGCGACACACAUCUGACGUGUAUGCGUGUGUGUCUGUGCCUCUGUGCCGGCACAUCAGCGACGUGUGGCCAUUUGGUUCUCUAUCGUGCUUUUUUUUUUGUAGACUGAGCAGUGGCUCUGUGUUUUGGCGUCCGCUUCGCUGUGCUGCCUGCCGUGCUGCCUCCGCGCGUGCGUGUUGCCCGUCACCUGUAGCAGCCAAAAAUACAACCUCCGCCCACAGGCAUAUACACAAGCAAGCUGAGGCAUCAGCACACAGGGUCACAGAACAAACCCACAUAGAAACACAUUGUCAUAGACGAACCGGCUCGGGGGGAGGGGAGGUGCAAGGAGGACUGACAGGCACACACGCGCACAGGCAGCGCUAGCUUUUCUUAUUUUUUUUUCUUAUCUGUGGAUUCCUCCCCUCUGUCUUUUCAUCGUCGCUUUUGCCAUUCUGAGCAGCACACAGAUCCUUUUUUGUAGGCGCACGGCCCGCAGCAAAGAGACGACAACAAUCCCCCCAAGGCGCAUCAAACUGCGACGCUGGAAUACCCUCUCUUGAUUCAUGCAGCGGGCGUACACGCCGGUUCCCCACUGCCUCAGUGCGCGGGCGCCUCUCCACCUCGUAGCUGCGCUGCGGCACCACAGCACGCGUAGCGGCGCUGCCGCCGCCGCGAAUGCGGCACCGUCACCGUCACCUUCUGGCGGUCUUCGGCCGCUGCGGAUUCGCACUCGCGGCUAUGGCCCUUCUUCGGAUCUUUUGAAGGGCAUCCCGGAGUUUGUAGCGCUGAACGUGGAGGUGACACUUCACCCAGAGGACGCAGAGGUACAGCGCGCCGUGCUGGCGUUGUCGAUGCCCAGCCUCGCCGGUGUGCGUGUUACGCCGGUACUGCCGCACGGAGCUUACGAGAGCAAGGUUCCUCACCGCACUGGUGCCUCCUACGUGGAUGUCAUCAGCUCCACCGAGCGCGAGGUGAUGGAGCAGUGUCUGCAAGAGCAACUGGCAGUUGUGGCCAACCUCGUUGUGGACCAGGUGGAGCAGCGCACCGGGCAGCAGCUGGAUGCGCUGCACGUCACAUACGCAGACAAGAUGAAGAGCUUCUCGGAGAUCGUGCUCAAUAGCAUCCACGAUGAGCUGCGGCAACUCCGCGUCGUGCGUGAGCGACAGGGUGCCGCGGAGCGAGACAGCCCCAGCGCCUCCCCUUCUCACUCCCCAAUGCCCAUCGAUGCGGAGGCGGUGGCGCGGCUGGUCAGCGCACGCGUUGCCGAGCAGCUCACCGGUGCCACCCUGCCCUCCAGCACCACCUCCACACCGCCACCAAGCAGCGACAUGGUCUAUCAACUUUCUCGUUUGGAGGAGAGCACGGCGGCGCACUUUGAGGACUUGCAGAGGCGCAUCACGGCCGUAGUAGCGGGCCGGGACGCGCCAGUGGUGACCUCGGCGCCGGCGGAGCUCCGCACUGCCGUCGUCGAGGCGGUUCAGAAGGCGGCCGCCGAGCAGCAUGAGAAGCUCUCAAACUUGAUCAAUGACCUCCUGGCUGAGGAGCGACUGGCGGCGCGUGGAAGCGGCGGUGACGCGGCUGCCAAGGCAUCCGUCGACAUAAGGGCGAUCGAAGAGAGCAUCGAAAGUGCCGUGCAGUCGGCCACCGAUGAACUGCGCCGCACCAUCACCAGCGAGGUGAAGAAGCUAGCAAAGUCGAAGGACACCAGCGGCGAGGCCACGGCAGGCGCCGCAACCGACGCGGACAUGGCGAUUGAGAUUGAAAAGGUUUUCGACGCUGUACAGUCGACGCAAAGCCGUCUUGCGGCAGUGGACGAGAUCGUGGGAGACGUCUUCAAAGAGCAAGCCGCCACCCGGGAUGCACUGCAGGCCAUGCAGGAAGUUCUGCAGCGUCAGCUCGAUGAGCUGCGUAGCACUGUAACCACCGCGGCCGCCGCUUCUACUCCAUCGCCUGCUGCGACUCCUGCUAGUGGCGUGCCGGAGGCGGCUCAGGAGAAGAUCACGGAAGCGUUGGAGCAGCUGCGCCGCGAUGUAUCAGCGACAAGCUCCAUGCUGGCAAUCCACAAAGACGACGCGCAGCAACAACUCAUGACAGUGGCGCAGGUGGUGAGCGACAGCGUCACAGCCGCCAUCCAGCAGCAGACGGAGGAGGCCCUGCAGUCCGCCAUGUCCACCGUCCAGGAGCAGCUCAACGCGCUUCGAGAGGCCGGGGAGGCCGCGUCGGCCGCCGCCUCCGCGGCACCACCGCCUGCAGCUGCACCGCCGCCCGCGCCGCUUUCGCAGGAGGUGCUAACGGACGCCGUGGAGGCUGUGCUCUCGCCACGGUGGGCGGAGCUUUCUGUGCAGGUGGAGCAGAUGAACACUGCAAACCAGCUCGCCAUCGAACAGCAGUUGCUGCACAUCGCCGACAGCGUGUCGACCUCCGUCGCGGCAAGCCUGCAGGCGCAGCUGGAGGAGAUGCGCACUUCUGCCGACAGCCAGCUGAAGGCCGAGCAUGCGGCCGAAGAGCACGGCUCCGUCAGCAUCGACACGCCACCGACAGCUACGGCGGCACUGAUAGAGAAAACGACGCACGAGCUCGCGACACUUCGCGAGGAGCUGCUGCAGGCGUUGCAGACUCAAGUGGGCAAGACGCCUGAGGUGAACUUGACGCCCAUGUACAAGUACAUCGACAGCGUUCUCGCCUUCAUGAAGGAGGAGCUCAGCCUUCAGGAGACGAACCUGACGGCUAAGAUGGCCUCGCUCGCGGAAACCGUGACGGCCGCCGUACGCGAGCAGCAGGAAGAUGUGCAGGCGGUGCGGGAAUCGGUGGAGGCGAGGGCGGCGAAGGCGGCUGCCUUGGCUGAUGUGCCGCCUCCGGCCGCCCCCGCCGCCGCGCUGUCUGACAUCGGGGAGCUGCUCUCGCCGAUGGGUACCGCUCUGGAUGCUCACGCCGCUGCACUGCGCCGGCUCGAGGAGCGGCUGGAUGAAGUUAGCCGCACCGCCGAUGUCUCGUCAGUGCUGACGCGUCUGCAGGAAGCAAGCGAGAAGUUCUGCAGCGCCUCUGCCGCAGCGGCCGCGGCACAGACAUCAGAGAGAGACACAUUGCAGGCGCUUUUCCAGGAUCGCUUCACAUCUCUCACACAGUCGCUCGAGGGCCGCGACGCCCGGCUCAUGGAGGCCGUGCGUGGCACCGCCACGAGCGCAGAGGUGAGGGCGCAGCUGAGCAGCGUGCAGGGCUCCAUCCAGUCUGUGGCGCAGGCACACAAGGAGGAACUGUUGACCGCUUUGCGCGAAUCCGUCUCUGACAACGAAAAGGGGCAAGCGCAGCGCACUGACGCCCUGCUGGCCCGAAUGGCGGCGAUGCAGGAGGCAAUCCAGGAGCAGCACGUGUCUGUGCAGCUUCUCCAGCCGUCUCCGGCGCUUAUUGGAUUCUCUGAGGAGCAGCAGCGGGCUCAGGCUCGCAUUCGCACAGCUACGCGGGAUCGUCUUCGCCGCGUCACUCAACUCAUCAGCGACCUCGCGUCCGUGCCGACCGGCAAGAGUGCAAGUGCUGCCGCCGAGAAGCUGCAGGACGAACUUGCGGGGCUGCGGCAACUCCAGGAGGAGGAAGCGGCUCUUGUGCGCGAAAACAGUGCGACAGGCGCGGGGCCUGUGACGAUGCAGUCAGUCGUUCAGGCAGAGGUUCAGCGGGUGCAGGAGGAGAUGCAGAAGGGCAUACAAGAGCUGAGCAGCCAGGGGCAGCUGCUGCAGCGCGACAUCGCGGUGGCGGUGCAGUCGCUCGUGGCGAAGAUCGAUGACGUGGGGGGCAACGCGAGCGGGCUUCCUUCCUUGGCCGACAUCCAGGAACUGCUGGAUGCCACGAUGAUGCGCAUCGCUUCUCAGCAAAACGAGGAAGGUACUCGUGCGUCGCAGCUGGUGGAGGCGGCAACGAGCCGCUCCGCCGCGGAGCUGAAGACGGCUGUGCAGACGGCACUCGCAGAAAACGUGUCAGCCGCCGAGAAGCGACUCAUUCCCUCCUUCCACGCGAAAGUGGAGGCCACGCUGCAGACACAUCUCACGACACACUCGGCAGAGAUCAAAACUGUCGUGAACAGCGUGGCGGACACCACCUCAGCGGCUGUGCAGCGAAUGGAGUCCAUCGCACAGGACAUGGCAAGCCGGCACACAAGCGCGGUGCAAGAGCACGCGACGUCGCAAGACACGCUGCGGCUUCACUCAAGCAGCGUCCAGCCCACAGCGCACGUCCCACUCUGGUGGCUCAUCGCGAACCCGGUGCUGGUGUGUGUGAUGGUGCUUCUCAGCAUUUACUACGUGUUUGCUUGUCUCCUUCUCGCCUUCGUGCCAAAACCGUCGGAAGAAGGCAGCGCUGCUGGAGAUAAGGUGACCAUUGCUGCGGCGAGGGCGGUGGCGACGGGCUCCGAGAUAGCGAAUUCGCUUUCCAGGAUGCCUCGCAAGGGUGGUCGCUACGUUGAUCGGUAUAUGUAGUGCUGGAAUGAGAGGCGAUUGCUCGGAUAUCAGUGCGUAGGUAAAACAGGGCGGUGCCCGAGAUUCGAGGUGCCAGCCGGCAUGCUGCUCUUCUGCGAACGUGUCCACGUACUGAUCGGGGGAACCAUGUGCAGAAAAGGCCGCGGUGUUGUUGCGAACAUGAGGGUUACCAUUGGCCUUCUUGUGUGUGUGUGGUCGCAUAGAGUGUAUCAUCAACUGCCUUAUCGUGGUGAGUGGGUAUGUGCCUGUGAGGAGGAGUGUUCCGCGUACAUCGUGGCUGAGAUGCGCUUCUGUGUGGAGAGGCGCGCGUAACGGUUUGUGCGUGUUCCCGCGUCUCUGCGGUGGAUGAACGCCGUGCGGUAUUCCUUGCUCGCCCCUCCUCGCUUUGGUGUUCCUUUAUUUUGCAUAGACUACGACUACUGCGCCUUCGUCCAUUCAACCUUCACCCUCUCGAAAGGGGCCGUGGACCGGCAGAGUACGCACGACAGCCUCAUUGAGUCUAUCAGGGCUCUGCGUGUCUAAGUUUGCGUUGGUGUUUUUCGUUUUCGUGUUUGGAGCCCUCCGCGCAGCAGACUAGGUAGGGAUGCGCAUGAGUCUCUCGUCGUCUUGGCCCCUCCUCCCUCGUGUUGCCUGGCUGAGGGUAUUUCGCUCCAGUGCCACGAUCGAGCGGCGGUGGCUUUUGUGUGUGUUGCAGGUGGGGCAAUAUCCCUUUUCGGAGGUGCGAUCUUUGGCUCAUCCUUAGCAGCGGUAGAUGCCGGCGUCUC
rnacentral:misc_RNA from 1 species